GAUGAACGCUGGCGGCGUGCCUAAUACAUGCAAGUCGAGCGAACGGACGAGAAGCUUGCUUUUCUGAUGUUAGCGGCGGACGGGUGAGUAACACGUGGAUAACCUACCUAUAAGACUGGGAUCACUUCGGGAAACCGGAGCUAAUACCGGAGAAUAUUUUGAACCGCAUGGUUCAAAAGUGAAAGACGGUCUUGCUGUCACUUAUAGAUGGAUCCGCGCUGCAUGAGCUAGUUGGUAAGGUAACGGCUUACCAAGGCAAGGAUGCAUAGCCGACCUGAGAGGGUGAUCGGCCACACUGGAACGGAGACACGGUCCAGACUCCUACGGGAGGGAGCAGUAGCGAAUCUUCCGCAAUGGGCGAAAGCCUGACGGAGCAACGCCGCGUGAGUGAUGAAGGUCUUCGGAUCGUAAAACUCUGUUAUUAGGGAAGAACAUAUGUGUAAGUAGCUGUGCACAUCUUGACGGUACCGAAUCAGAAAGCCACGGCUAACUACGUG
rnacentral:rRNA from 1 species